AUUGAACGCUGGCGGCAGGCCUAACACAUGCAAGUCGAGCGGAUGAAGGGAGCUUGCUCCUGGAUUCAGCGGCGGACGGGUGAGUAAUGCCUAGGAAUCUGCCUGGUAGUGGGGGAUAACGUCCGGAAACGGGCGCUAAUACCGCAUACGUCCUGAGGGAGAAAGUGGGGGAUCUUCGGACCUCACGCUAUCAGAUGAGCCUAGGUCGGAUUAGCUAGUUGGUGGGGUAAAGGCCUACCAAGGCGACGAUCCGUAACUGGUCUGAUAGGAUGAUCAGUCACACUGGAACUGAGACACGGUCCAGACUCCUACGGUAGGCAGCAGUGGGGAAUAUUGGACAAUGGGCGAAAGCCUGAUCCAGCCAUGCCGCGUGUGUGAAGAAGGUCUUCGGAUUGUAAAGCACUUUAAGUUGGGAGGAAGGGCAGUAAGUUAAUACCUUGCUGUUUUGACGUUACCAACAGAAUAAGCACCGGCUAACUUCGUG
rnacentral:rRNA from 1 species